CCUACGGGAGGCAGCAGUGAGGAAUAUUGGUCAAUGGGCGCGAGCCUGAACCAGCCAAGUCGCGUGAGGGAAGACGGUCCCAUGGAUUGUAAACCUCUUUUGUCGGGGGGCAAAAGACGCCACGCGUGGCGUUCCGAGAGUACCCGAAGAAAAAGCAUCGGCUAACUCCGUGCCAGCAGCCGCGGUAAUACGGAGGAUGCGAGCGUUAUCCGGAUUUAUUGGGUUUAAAGGGUGCGUAGGCGGACGAUCAAGUCAGCGGUAAAAUUGAGGGGCUCAACCCCGUCGAGCCGUUGAAACUGGUUUUCUUGAGUGGGCGAGAGGUAUGCGGAAUGCGUGGUGUAGCGGUGAAAUGCAUAGAUAUCGCGCAGAACUCCGAUUGCGAAGGCAGCAUACCGGCGCUCAACUGACGCUCAGGCACGAAAGUGUGGGUAUCGAACAGGAUUAGAUACCCUGGUAGUC
rnacentral:rRNA from 1 species